rnacentral:rRNA from 1 species
AGAACGAACGUUGGCGGCGUGGAUUAGGCAUGCAAGUCGAACGAAUCCCAUCCGGGUAACUGGGUGGGGGAAGUGGCGAAAGGGGCAGUAAGGCAUGGGCAACCUACCCCGGGGACGGGCAUAGCCGUCCUAACGGACGGGUAAUACCUGGCGAUUCGGCGAGGGGGCAUCCCCUUGCCGGGAAACGAGUUUCGCCUCGGGAGGGGCUCAUGUAGUAUUAGCUUGUUGGUAAGGUAACGGCUUACCAAGGCGAAGAUGCUUAGCGGGUGUGAGAGCACGACCCGCGCCACUGGCACUGAGACACUGGCCAGACUCCUACGGGAGGCUGCAGUCGAGGAUCUUCGGCAAUGGGCGCAAAGCCCUGACCGAGCGACGCCGCGUGUGCGAAGAAGGCCUUCGGGUUGUAAAGCACUGUCGAGGGGGAGAAAGCCGCAAGGUUGAUCGACCCUGGAGAAGCACGGGCUAAGUUCGUGCCAGCAGCCGC